AAAACCUAGUUGUUAUUUUUUUGCUCUUUCAUUGUUUGAUCAAUAAAGUGAAAAACCCUAGCUUUUUUCGGAUCCGUGAAAUAUAGCAUCUAAAUAAUCAGGUAGGCCAAGUAACUCAUCGGGCUCAAAGGGUUUUGAUUUUGGGUCCGAUGAUAUUCUCUGGUCCUAUGAAGAUUUUUUCCCAUAACGAUCCCUCUAAUUGCUCCCAUCCGAUCCAGCAGGUCAUCUCUCCGGCCGGAGCCAACCAAACAGCCGCCUCUCUCUCUUUUCUCUUCUCUAAUCUCCACCAUCAUAUCCGCUCGCUAUUCUACAAAUACACUAAAAUUUGUAUGUAUUCUGGAAUUUUUAAUGCAAAUUUAGUUAGUUAGUUUUUUUUUCUUUUGUAUUUUCGCAUGUAUUUAUGUAUUUUGAAAGUUGUUU
rnacentral:lncRNA from 1 species